CUAUCCCUUUGAUCUUGUCUGGCUAUUUCCCGUGAGAAACUGUCCUUUGACCUUAUAAUUAGGGCCUUAUUGAUGCUAAAGGUUAAUUAGAUUAUGGUAGAAGUAGGAGGCAUUAUAUAUUCACGUCAGAUCCUCUCGAAUUUGCUUAGUUAAAGAUAGUUUUCAUCCUAGGUGAAUGUGUUUGCUUUUCGUUUAAUUUCAGUAGGUAGGUUCCACAUUCCUGUAAGCUAUGGAUGCUUUCCUCAUUUUCUCUUAUGAGUUUUUGUGAUGUUCAUUUGUAAUGUGUGAUCGCACUGAUAGUUUAGGAACAGCCACAUUAGCUAAUGAACUUCCAUUCUGAAUUGGCCAGUGAAAAAGCAAUCACAAAUUAGGAAAAAAAAGAUAUGUCUAAACUGAUGAUAGUGUAUGAGAAUUUGAUAGGCUGUGCCUGUGGCAAUUUAUGGUGCAAUGCUGAAGCUGCUAUUGUGCCCUUUUUUCUGUAGUUUUCAAGGUUUAACUAAGAUAUUGCAGAUAAGUUUUCAUACAGAGGUUUUCCUGACACUAAAAUAGUAUAUUUUUAUUGAUUAUUUAGUUAUUGUUUGUGGUUAUGUCAUCUUUAUUAUAUUUUUCUGUAUAGAGUGAAGGUCUGGUACUGCGACGGUGGAUCUUUCACUGGUGUGGUUCUCAUGCAGUUAGUGAAAUUCUGUCUCAACUCGUGGCAUUUUCUUUCCUUAUUAGUUUCAGACCACAAACUAAAUAUGUGCACCAAGGGAUGCUACUCUAAAACUUUGGUUUGUUUUAUUUAUUAAACCACAACAAUUCAUUGUCUGAUUUCCUUCUUUUUCUUUAGGCUGCAGGCCUUUAUCUCCGAGGUCAGUGCAUUUGGUGGGCUGCUAUGGAUGACUUAAUAGUCCAAGGACAACUCACCAUAGUUCACCCAUGCUGCUCCAAAUUCCUACCUUUAUGUGUUCAGAUCUACUUUAAAAUAAGGUAUUUUAAAUCUAACAUGUACCAACUAUUCAUCUUUUGGGAAAAUAUAAUUGGUAGAUUUGGUAGACAUAAUUUGUUCUAAUGGAAUUUCAGUUUAUUGUGCACACAAUGUCCUUUGUUUUUAUCUGGGUGAGCACCUUUGGAAUACGAUUCAAAAUCCUUGGAGGGCAUCCUUCCGAAAAUCUUAAAUGGGUUGCAAAUGCAAAUAUCAACUGUUAGUAUCAUAGCUUUUGUUUUGAAAGCUACUAUCCAGGUAAGAAAAGUAUUGUCAUAAGCUGCAUUUAAAAUUGAUAUUCACUUGGUCAUUUGUCGAGUGGAUCUAAGUGAAAUCUAUUUUUUUAUGAGAUUAUUCACUUAGUCAUUUGUCGAGUUGAGCUAAGUGAAAUCUGUUUUUUUGUGUAGGAUUAUUCACUUAGUCAUUUGUCGAGUUGAAGUGAAAUCUGUUCCUUUAUAUGAGAUAUUGCAGACUUGCAGUUGCAGAUUAUGGAUUUACAUUUUUUUUUUGCUUCACUACGUAUUACCCUGAAGCCCCAUCUGCUUGGUUGAUUUUAACCCCAAUAUACAAGGUGGACAUGCAGAUAGAUGGCCAUGUAUCCUCACAGGGUACUGAUUGUCCAAAUUUUAGGCAUGGAAGAACAUGGAAGCUGGAGGUGGCAAUGGUAAAUUGACCGGAGCCGUCGUCGGCACCGUUGAGCUCUAGAACCCAGGUGCACCGAGUACUAUGUUAUGCCGAAUGGAGCCUACUGGUCGGAGUGUGAGUGGAAGCCACCGUCAGAGGUGGUCGGCGACUGCGCGCUGGUUCCAGAACGCGUACAAGGAGGCUCGCAACGGGACAUCGCCAACCCCCAAGAACGAGUACAAGGUAUAUCAACACAACUUGUUCCAAAUUAGAUCUCUUUUGAUUCAGGUUUCUUAUUUAGUCGUCUGUGCUAGGUACAUGGGGAUUUGAUUCAGCUUCCAUGGAUGUCAUUUCAUAGAUAUAUGAAUGGAUUGAUGAAGGGUGUUUCUGUUGUUCCUGGAACCACCAUUCUUCAGGGCAGGUACACCCCAUCUCUCUCCCUCUAAUUUUUCCUCUGAUUUUCCUGAUUUGGAAAGGAUUCUUUAGUGCACCCCUCACAAUUUGGUCUUAAUUUCCCUGCUUGCCACUGGUCCUGAUUUCCCCCAAAUCUGAAUUGUGCAGAAUACAUGUCUAUUUUAUCUGUCCAUCUAUAUACCCGCCGAAUACAUUAUGCUAAUAGUGCUUAGAAAUGCUAACAAGAACAACUUACUGAGUUAUACAUAUUGUUGUUCAGAUGCUGUAGUUCGUUCUCUCUGUUAGUUCUCUGAAAAAUAGCUCUAAAAUUUUGCUCGACACUUUUCAUCACCACAAGCAAGCGAGCAAGCAGCCGUGAGCUCUAUGGAGGCAGCUUAUGAUCUGCUACAGUAAGCAAUCCCGUCAAGCUAUAUACACUACAUAAUUGUUAAUGGCUUGUGAACUGAUAGCAUGUUAGUGAUUAAGCUUCUCUAAUUUCUCCAACCCUAAACUGUUGCUAAAUUUAUAGAAAAUGUAAUUUACAAAUAUUUUAUACUAUGCUGCAACUGUUUUUAUUUUUGACAAGGCAUGAAUCUUAAUCUAUCUCACUAUUUACUUCAUUUUCAAGAAACAUAUUGUCCUUUUCUUUUUACAGUAGCGUUGCAUUUUCAUGAUAAGAGCAAGACGACACAUAUACUUCAGUAUGUUGCUUUGGAGCUGCGAUGCUCUUGUCAUUGGAAGACCCAUCAGCCAGAACAGAGAGGGGAAGCAACAAAAAUGGAGGCAGGGAGAAGGAAGAAAUAUGUUGCAGCGCUGUUGCCCUGUGGUGCUCGCUACUGAUGUCUAACGGGCCAGGAUUGACGAAAACAAGGAUUGGAAGGAAUGGAUUCGCAACGAUGAUUCCAUUUUCCUCAAUGUUGAGAUGGGUAUCCUACAAAAAUUACUAAGUACAGAUGUUGUUGAGAUUCAUUAAAGUAUCCAGUUUUCUCACUUUUCUUAUUUUAUUUUUUCACUUUCUUAUUUCUGAAGUCCAAUAUCUUUUAACACACAAUAAUGCAUGGUUUUAUUUCAUUAUUUUGUGAAUUUGUGUUUCCUGCACAUUUAUCCCUGUUUUUUAACUUUACAAAUUUACCCUUAUUUUUUGAAUAUGAAGCUUUCACUUGCUUCUAUUCUGUGAAAAAGACAUAAUAACGAUAUUAAAUGAGGACUGAAAAAGACACAAAUAUCCUUGACAUGAGUGACUCAAUAAUCAAUAUGACUUUUUAUGUACAAACUUAUUGUGUAUGUAUUUUGAAGAAAUGACAUCACAUAUUUUUUACACACACGAAUAUUAGCUUUGUCAUCUCUGUUGACUAUUUCAUCGUAACUCAUAAGGCUUGAUCCAUUCUUUGGUUUUUUUGAACAGGGCCCAUACCUUAACUAAUAAAAUUAUAGAAACAAAGAAAAAAUUGGAGGAAGCUCAUUCAGAUUAAGGCCGCACUCAGGCUUAGGGUAUGUAGUAUUUUUGUUUAUAUUUGAUAAUUAUUGUCUAAUCAUAGACUAACUAGGCUUAAAAAAUUCGACUUACAAAUUACAGACAAAUUAUACAAUUAGUUAUUUUUUUAUCUAUAUUUAAUGAUUGAUGAAUGCGUCCAAAGAUUCCAUCUGAUAGGAAAUCUUAUAAAUUUUUAGAAUUUUGAAAACAUCUAAACAUGUCUUAUUAUCCGUUCAAAUGUCCAGUCCAUCACGGCUUCAGGCCACAUGCGAGUGGAGAACAGCAGCGUGGGCACGGCAGCGGGAUGAGCUCCGCGCCUACGCCUGGCGCACCGUGGAUCCUCUGCGUCACCUGCUGCGCCAUGCUGCUAGCAGUCGUGCCACGCGCCCACGCUCGCGCGCAGCCCCCUUGCCCCGCCGCCGACCCUAUCGUCCGCAUUUCUCACGUCACGGGAUGAGAGAGGGAAAAGAUCAGAUCAUAUGUUUUAGAUAAGGGAUAAGCAUAAUAGUAUUUUUCAUUUCCUUCUUAUUUUCCAAACAAUUUUUUUGACCCAUUAUUAAACAGCAACUCACAUAAUUGGAAAACAAGGGCAGACCGCAACUUCAAGUUCAAAAAAUUAAGGUAAAUAUGUAAACUUGAAAUACGGAGGCAAACAUAUAUACUGUUAGAGUUGAAAACGAGGAUAGUAAUGCAAUUGUCCCAUCUUACUGUAGCAUUAGCAUGGCAAUACUAAUGAUUUAACUAUAUAUAUUAAUGAUGGCGAACCUAGACACAGACACUCAAGAGGAUAUCUUACUGUGCAAUACAUGUUUGUAUGGAAUAUAUCUAAAGCCACAUAUAUUUAUAUCGUUAGGAACAUACUUUGUUUUAAGGUCUUGUGAGAUAUUUUUGAAGACAUGCAAUAUUACCGAUGUGAUAUGUGCAAAUAUUUACAUUAUUUAUAUGGUUAGGAUAACAUACUUUGUUUAAGGUUUUGUGAGAGAUUUUUCAAGACAUGCGAUAUUAGUUAUGUGAUAAGCACUAAUAUUUACCUAUAUACACGAACGUGUGUAUGGAGAUAUGGUGAAACUUAUUCGUAGAUUUAUUAGCGUACGAAAGAAAUGGAGGAGAUUUCUAUCCUACCAAUAUAAAACAUUAUUGAAAGGAUCAAGAUGCCCAAGAGGGGGGGGGGGGUGAAUUGAGCUUCUCUAAAAAUUUAAGCAACCUAUAAGCUUCAAUUCAACCCCUUGUGCCUAGUGUGACUAGAGAGCUACCGGAUAAAAGUUUUGCAACCUAGUUCCAAUCCUAUUCUAGCAUGGCAAUUCUAAGAAUGUUUAAACACAAAGUAAAUGCUAGAAUGUAAAGGAGUAGUGGAAGAAAGUGCUCGGCGAUAUUUUGCCGAGGUAUCGGGGAGUCGCCACUCUCCACUAGUCCUCGUUGGAGCACCCGUGCAAGGGUCUUGCUCCCCCUUGAUCCGCGCAAGGACCAAGUGCUCUCUACGGGCUGAUUCUUUGACACUCUGUCGCGGUGAAUCGCCCAAAACCGCUCACAAGCUUGACACGAGCCACCCACAAGAACUCCGGGCGGUCUUCGUGUCUCCAAUCACCACCGAACCGUCUAGGUGAUGGCGAUCACCAAGAGUAACAAGCAAAGAACACUCACUUGAUCCAAACAAGGCUCUAGAGAGUGGUGGAUGCACACUUGACUCUUGGAAUUCACUAGAGAAGGAUUCUCACAAGAAAUCACUCAAAUCUCAAUCCUGUCUAGGCUCUUGCUACUCUCUUGCUCCACAACAAGUUUCUCUGAUGUUCAAAUGGGCAAGAGACCUCUCAUGGACGAGGUGGAGGAGUAUAAAUACACCCCACGAAGUCCAAAGGUCAGCCAACCGUUUUUCACUGAAAACGGGGUCACCGGACGCUGUUGAUGUUGCACCGGACGCUCUGCACCGAGCGUCCGGUGACACCAAACGGCUAACUGUACCUGCGUCUCACAGGUCACCGGACGCUACCUCUCAGCGUCCGGCGGCACCGUCCGGUGCUCCAGGGAGUUUUACAAACUCCCUGAGUUUAGGACCGGACGCUACCCGGUGCGUCCGGUGCUAGCGUCCGGUGCUCAGGGUAGGUUUACAACCUCCCUGGGUAUGGGACCGGACGCUGCUCGGUGAGUCCGGUGCCAGCGUCCGGUGCCUAACCCUAAGCACCGAAACCCUCCAACGGCUAAGGACCUCACCGGACGCACUCACUGAGCGUCCGGUGCAGCGUCCGGUGCCUACUUAGGCACCCAAACAUCGUCGAAACGCGAUCGUUCCAAAACAAAGUUUGUUCCUCUCGAUCUAAUGACUAUCUCUGAGCUGCCUAGUGCUAGGUUUACCAAGUGUGCACCACACCUAAACCUAAAGCCUUGCCUAAGUCAAGCUACUAGAUCAAAGCCCCUCUUAAUAGUACGGUCAAAGGAAAAUAAAGUCCUAAACUACUCUAAGUGCCCUUCUUCACCAUAUGGCACUUAGACCUAGUCUAGUCUUGACGAUGUCCAUCCAUCCUUUGAAAACCGAAACGAUUUCCACUAUUAAGUAGGCAUGUACAUCCCUGUUCAUCUUGUACCUAUUACCAUGACCUCACUAAUGACUUUGCCUCUGCAAAACACACGUUAGUCAUAGUAAUCAACAUUGUCAUUAAUCACCGAAAUCAUUAGGGGCCUAGAUGCUCUUUCAAUCUCCCCCUUUUUGGUGAUUGAUGACAAUAACCUCGAUUAUGAAAGGAAAUGAGGUUUUCAAAUGACUUGGUUUCAAUAAGCAUGAUACAAUAAGAGCAAAGAGAUUAGGCAUGCUUAUAUCAACCAAGUCUACCAUCCUGCAUCCAAAUAUGUGAGAUGAAUACAACAGGAUAUAAACACAAAAGGCUUAUAAAACAUCGGAGUAAAACGCGGAAGCAAAAGUAAUAUGAGUCAAAACACAUGACAAGUCUCACAACCAUAAUGUAUCUCACACAAAUGCAAUGCAUAAACGUAAACAUGAUGCAUGAUGGAGUAGCACACAAAAGUAUAUCAAAAUAACAAAGCCCUCUCUAGCUCUAGCUCUCUAGCUCCCCCUAACUCUCAUAGCUCUAGCUCUCUAGCUCCCCCUAACUCUCAUACUCACAAUCCUCUCCCCCUUUGGCAUCAAGCACCAAAAACCUACGAAGACGGAGGUGGAGGCGGAGCAGUGGAGUCCCUCGGCACGGCCUCAAAAUGAGCUGCAUUGUCUGAUCCAUCGGCCGUCGAGUCGGAGGAGGUGGAGUGACCCUCUGAAGCUGCAGGUGCUGGCGAAGCGGUCUGGGUCUGCUCUGGGGUGCUAUGGCUGUCACGGGCUGAGGUGGCUGCUCAAGUCCUGCUGACGAGGCUGGCACAGACUCGGUCGCUGUAGCGGACGUCUCUGGCACGAUAGGGGUGGAGGCGUGGGGUCACCAGUCAGAGCACUGUAUGAGAAACUGAUGUGCUGGCCUGCUGACGAGUCCAACACUAGCUAUGACGCUGUCGCUGACUGAGGUGUGAAUCCAGAGCGGAGAGGCGUAAAUUGUGGUACCUGCUCAAAGCCAGACGAGAUAGCACCGUGAGAGACCUAGCGCUGUGGCGUCGAGAAAGGCUGAUUAUGAGCAGGAAGCUGGAGCGGUGGCUAGGACUGGCUCUGUGGCGCUGGAGUAGACGGCCUGACUGACGAUGUGCUGGGAAUCUGAAUCUGUGGAAGUUGAAUCCCUGAGGCGGCCAUAAGAGCAGCCAUCAUCGCAGUCUGCUGAGCCUGAAAAGCUAGGAACUGCCUCUAAAGCUCAUCCUGUCUGGCCUGAAUAGCUGCAUUGAUCACAGCCUGAUCCCUGUCCCUCCUGGCCUGCUCCUCAGCUGUUCUACGCUGAUCUGCCCUCAUCCCCUCUAGAAUAGCUAGCAGUGCGGGGUCCGUAGCACUCGAGGAGCCUCCUGCCUUGUGGUCGUGUGUCCUCGGAGAAAGGUCUGGCACAGGAAGACGAUAGUCACCGAGCUGUCCGAAGCAAAGUCAAACUCCUCCUCAGCCUCUGCAUCUGCAAAUGCCCCAAUAGCUAUGUCCUGCUCGUCCUCGGUCUCUAGUACUGCUCCUAAACUGUGAGUACCCCUCGGAGAAGGUGGGGGCACUGGGCCACGUGCUGCUGGAGGAGGUGGCGGAGCUUGAAGGUCGUAGUGUCCUCUCAGCAUGUUCCUGGGGUCAUAGUGGGAGAACACCGUGUCUGAGUCUGACAACUCUCUCUGCAGGUGAGCUGGAAGAGGUACGGGCCUAGCACGAAGGAUGAUCAUGGUGAUCCAGUGUGUGUACAACAACUGACGCCGACCCCUGAAGCUCUCUGAAAUAGUAUCCUCGAUCUCUGAGACUAUCAGAUCCCACAAGUCAAAAGGAGUCUUCGAGAUGAGGUGGGCUACCAACCAUUGCUUUAUCCUGGUGAAGCCGUCUCUGUAGCCUGUCCUGGGAAAGAGUGUCUUCCUCAACACAAAGUCGAGGAUCCUAGCUAGGCGAGUCAAGUCUCCCACUGUCCUGCUGGAGCCCUCUCCAAAAGGCGGAUGGAAACAGGGAGCCACAAAGUCAACCGGUGGUGUCUCACUACCGUGAGGAUGUCGAGGAGGCUCGAAGUUCGCGUAGCACAGCUGGUGAAUCCUGGUGGGGUAGGCUCUCAAACCAAGGACCUCUCUGGCACUCUGUGCUGUCACCCUGUAGUCUGUCCCUGCCAGUGCGUAGUGAAUAUAGCUAUGAUCCGGAGAAACCCACACUGAAGCAUAGAACUCUCUGACCCACUCCUCACAAUAAGUACCAGGCAAGGCGAGCAACUCUGGGAGACCGUGGAGGUAUGUGAAGUACUGCCGGAUGUCUGCACCGACCACGUUCCCUAAAAUCUCAAGAUCAAGCACCCUGUGCUCCCUGAACUGAGCCUGUGAGCGAACCAGUGCCUCGUAGAUGUCCUCCUGAACCACAGUGUAGAACCUGGCACUGGCUCUUGGAUCCCUGGCAACUGGAAACCAAGUGGGAAAGGGAACAAAGCGUAGCUGCUGGAUCUCUCGAGCUGAAACCUAGGUGUAGUCCCUGUGUAUCCUCAUUGGUGCCUGACGAGGAGCUGGAGUGCCUCUAGCUGGAGUAGAGCGAGCAGCAGAGGUAGACUGACCCUGCGUACCAGUCCAGGGGAUGGCCUGAGUACGAGCGCAAGUCGACCUCCUGGGGGGCUGCUGCUGCUGCUGUGCCUCUGUCGGACCCACUGCCUGGGCCUCUGCCUCUGUCUCUAUGUCCGGGUCCUCCUGAGCUGGGUCGCGGACUGCAAUCCUGACACGCUGACAACCUAGCAUGAUGGUGCCAGGAGGGGAUCCAUGGAGUGCCUCUGCCUCAAGAACUGCACGCCUCUGCUGUGGCAUGAGAUCGGCCCCAAUCCUCAGGGCACCUGAGCGACCACCUCUCUCAGCUGCCUUAGCCGCUGCUGCAACUGCCUUUGCUAUCUCUGCCUCUCUAUCACUGGCCUUCCUCUUCUUGGUGGCUAGCUUUUUUCUUGACCUUCUCUGCUGCUGACAGGCGACGGGGAGGAUCACCUCCACCAUCACCUCCUGGGGAACCUCCAGCGCUGGCUGCCGGACCACUGACGUUCUUGCAAUGAGCCAUCGCAAGAACAACUGCCUGAAACAACAGCCGACAAAUGACAAACUGGCACGAGAGAUCAACGCGCUGCAAGAGAUAAAAAGAUAAGAUAUAUAUAAGCAAACGAAAUAGCUAGAGGUGAGAGAACCCUAUAGAUCGCAAGAUUAGAUAAAGAACGGGCGUGAAUGGCUUACGAUCCGAUGACGAGACGCGUUCCGGAUGAAAUAUCACGAUCGGAAUCUGCCGGAGAAUGCGAGUCAACUCCUCAAGGUGCUACACAGAUGAAACGGAGAAAAUCGGGGUCAAAAACCUCGUUCUAAUCCAUUGGCACAUAAGAUCAAACACCUUGAGGGCGCUGCUCAGGAAACUCACCCUGGAAUCCAAACUCCACGCGAGAAGAGGGCUCCUGCGCGUGGGGAGGAAGAGGAGAGUCGCUUGGAGAAGAUCUGGCGUGGGGGAAAGGAGAUCGCCGGCGGGAAACACGAAGUCGACGGCGGCGCGGCGGAUCUAGGCGACUAGGGCACGGGCGGAGUCGGAGAAAUCGCGUGGAGGAAGAAACCGUCUGUGGAAAACCCUAGGGGGCACGGGUUAUAUGUGCCUGAAUCGGGGUCACCGGACGCUCCUAAUGUGGCACAGGACGCGUCCGGUGACCACCGGACUAAAACACAGAGAGGUUUUCAAAUCGCCAAACCACCAGACGCUGGCCUUAGCGUCCGGUGCCCUAGGGCACGCCUGGUGAGCACCAGACUCACCUCACCGGACGCUGCAGGGACACUGUUCCUACGUCCGUUGAGUGCAAACCUGCAUACUCACCGCACCGGACGCACCGAGACAGCGUUCGGUGCAUCGUCCGGUGCACCUCUGGGUGCUUUUUCAACUUUGAAAUUCGCCCGACUUUUACCCAACCGAGUUCCAACUUCAAAGACACACAAAUAAACACCAAGUGGAACUGGUAUGAGUGACCUCUCUCAAACCCUCAAAUUUUCACAAAUAUUUAGCCUUAGGCUUAGUAAUUUUUAUGAAAAUAGUCUAGUGAAAUCGCCAAGGAGCAUCGUAUGGCCAUAAAGCUAGGGUUUUAAAUCAUAAUGAGCUUUGAAUGCUCCCCCUAUCUAUGGACGAACAUAGCGGAUGCUCAAAACAUAACCAAAAACAAACGGUCAACUAACAAGCAUGCAGAUGAUAUGAGGUGAGAUGCAAUACUUGAAAGUAAACUAAUGCUUGUCAAGUUUGAUCCAAGGUUAAGCUUUUUCACACUCACAUGGGGGUUAUCUUAACCAUGUUAGACAAGCCCUACACACAAAUUUUUGAGUUUUAGUUUUGGUAUGCAUGAUAUGCAAAACAAGAGCUAUUUACAAAAAUUCAACACACAACUUCAUUUUUUAGUGAAGUUAGAGAGAUCAAACACAUUAAGUUCAUUUCUCAACAUACAAAACCUAGCUUCAUCUAGGGGUUUUGUGAAGAUAUCUGCCAAUUGAUUUUCCGUUCCCACAUUCUCCAAAGAUAUGUCACUUUUAGCAACAUGAUCCCUAAGAAAGUGGUGGCGGAUGUCAAUAUGUUUUGUGCGGGUGUGUUGAACCGGGUUGUUAGCAAGUUUUACGGCACUUUCGUUGUCACACAACAAAGGUACUUUGUCUAGUACUACUUCAUAGUCUAGCAAAGUUUGUUUCAUGUAUAGUAUUUGUGCACAACAAGCACCAGCGACAAUGUAUUCCGCCUCGGCUGUUGACAAGGUGAAAGGUCCUUGUUUGGUUUUGGUAAUUGAGUGACAACUUAGGUGGACUAAUAGUGUUUAUGUGAGAUACACAGGAGAUUAGUCCACAGGUGAUGAUGUGAUGAUGGAGGAGCUCAUUGCAUAUGAUACAUGACAUGGAGUCAUGUGACCAAGGUGGAGAAGAUCAAGAUGAGGCUUGGCUUGAUGGACCGGUUGUAAGAGUGAAGGGCAAGUCGGAGGCUUUGAAGCGAGGGACCGCGUGUGACGGUGAAGCUUGAGCAAGACUUGGUGCCGAUGGACCGAGGCAACAGUGAAGAGCAAGUGAGGUCAAGAUCGAUGAACCAAUACGGUCACGUGAUGAUAUGAAGUGGAUCAUAUCAUUUGGUGAUUGGUUGGUGCAUGUGUUGCAUCAACAUUGGAGAAGAUGAAAUGGAAAGCGCAAGGCAAAGGUAUAACCUAGGGCAUUUCUAUUUCACCGGUCAUAGGUGUGUAGAGAAGUUUAUGACCGGAUUUAGGAUAGAUGGCCAUACUAUCAAGAGGGGCAAACUUGUUUGCAUAUCGGUCAUCUGGUGCCACUUGAGCGAUCUAACUUUGCAUACGUGUUAGGAUCGAGUGGCGUGUCAAGUUGAGAGGCUAACUCCCUUAGAAAAUGUUUGUGAAAAUGCUAACACACUUGCACAAGUGUUGUGACACUUUGGUGUUGGCACAUGAAAGCAAGGGAAGGAGUUGGAGUUCGUUUCGUGCAGCGUGUUCAGGUCAAACGCGUUCGGUAUGAGGUCGGACGUGUCCGAGUUGAGGCACCGGACUCGGAAACAGUUUUCAGCUGGAGUCCGGUGUGUUUCGUCUGGAGAGGACACUUUCUCGGAGAAGCUCUCUAAGUUUGCGUCCGGUGCACACCGGACGCGUCCGAGUUGAGUGUCCGGUGCAAAACUCAGUUUUUAGAGCUCUCUGAGUUUUGGUCCGGUGCACACCGGACACGUCCGGUGUGUGAGUCCGGUGUAGCGUCCGGUGUUGUGACAUUUUGCAAAGCUCUCUUAGUUUUCGUCCGGUGCAUACCGGACGCGUCCGGUGUGACACCGGACACGUCCGGUGCGUUCAAAAGUGAGAGUCCGGUGCCCUGUCAGUGUCAGAGGCAACAGCUAGUUUUCUAACGGUCAAGAGCACCGGACGCUGGCCUGGUCAAUACCGGACGCGUCCGGUGUGAACUAGGACACGUCCGGUGUGGUCGACUUUUGCCCAGUGAAGGGUAACGGCUAGUUUAGCCCUUGGGGCUAUAAAUAGAAGUGGUGGCUGGCCUUGGCUUGUGCUGAGCCGCCUUGGGACUUAGUGUCCAUGCUUGGGGAGUGCUAGUGAAGCCUCUAACUCACAUAUGCUUGAUAGUGUUCAUCUGAUUGUGUGAGUGAGCGAUUCUAGUGCGUUGCAUUGAGAAAUUGUAUCGAGUGGCACUAGGUGUUCGUGUUGCAAGCCGGUGGUGCUUGUUACUCUUGGAGGUUGCCACCUCCUAGAUGGCUUGGUGGCUUGUGACUCCGUCGAAGCACGCAAGGAGAUUGUGUGGUGCUCCGGAGAAGAGAUUGUGAGGGGUACGGUGCUCACCCCGCGGGGAUCGCGAAGAGCAACUCUAUUGGAUUGCUCGUGUCAUUGAGUUACCUCACUUGUGGGUAGGUUCUUGCGGUGUCCUAGUGGGGACGAGGUUCGUGUAACACCUCUUAGCCGCCGAACCACCAAGUGUUGGUCGACACAACGGGGAUGUAGCUUGGUGGCAACCAAGUGAACCUCGGAAGAAAAUCAUCGUGUCAACUUUGUUCUUCCCGUUGGUUUACAAGUCCCUAACACAAGCUUGUUCUUACUUUCAUAUACUUGUGCUUGUGUAGUUGCUCUUGUAAUUAGUUAGCUUGUGUAGCUUGCUAGUUACCUUCUUGCUUGUGUAGCUAGAAGUAGUUCCCCUUGCGUGACUAAUUUGGUUUGUGUAACCUUGUUAGUCACAUUGCUUAGUUUGUGUAGCUAAGUAAGUUGCGCUCUCUAAUUUGGCAUUAGUUGCCUUGUUAUUGAGCUUGCUAGUGAGCUUAGGAGCUUUGUGCUUUUGCUUACUAGUUGUGUAGGAGCUCCUCGGUUUGCAAAGUACUAGCGGCAUAGGUUUGUGUGACCUUACUUCUAAAUUUGAUUAGGUGAGCUCUUGCUAACGUAGCACCUUGCUUGCUUGUUUAGAAUCUUUUCAAGGUGCUAGAGAACUUAGAUAGAGGGGUGUAGUCUUGGCUAGACGGAUAGUUUUAAUUCCGCAUUUGUUUCGGUUAGCCGGCGCGAUAAGUUUUAGAAAGGACUAUUCACCCCCCCUCUAGUCCGCCAUCUCGACCCUUCAAGUGGUAUCAGAGCUAGGUCUCUCAUUUGUGGUCUUCACUGACCCGAGAGGAUGGCGGCUUAUGGGCUAGAUGUUGAGUGUCCACACAUUUUUGAUGGCACACACUUUGCACAGUGGAGAAAUUGGAUGACAUGCAAUUUUAAAUUUAUUUCUCCUCAAAUGUGGUGGAUUGUAGAUGUGGGCUUUUCUUGUGCAAUUGAUAAAAAGGUUGCAACUCAAGCGCAAAAGAAAUGCCUACAUCUCGAUUGCCAAGCUACUAACAUCUUCUAUUCAUCCAUGAAAGAUAAUAUAUUUGGUGAGAUCAUGGACAUGAAGUCCGCCCAUGAGAUUUGGGUAUUUCUCAAUGAGAAAUAUGGGAUGAUCUCAAAAGAAGAUGUUGUGCCAAAUGUGGAGGCACAUGAGGAUGUUGAGCAUGACCACAACACCGUGGUUGUGGAGGAUAGCUCCACCUCAUGGUCAAGUGAUGGUGAUAAUGAUGCUACCACAAGAUCACUUGACAAGGACGAUGAUGAUGCCACAAGUGAUGCAACCGAUGAUGCUACCUCAUGCACACUUGAUGAUGAAGAUGAUGGCUAUGAGAGUGAUGCUUCCACAAGCUCAUCACCACAUUGCUUUAUGUCACACGGUGACACUAAGGUAUCCAUUGGUGAUGUAAUUAUCGAUUGUGAUGAUCCAAAUUUUGAGCUUGUAUGUAGACUCUCAAAAGCUUUAAGAAUUGAGUUGGCAAAAACAAGUAAAUUGGAAAAUGAGAACUCAUUUCUAAAGACCACAUGUGAACAACAAAAGCAUCUACUUUAUGUUACUACUUGUUCACAUGAGGAGCUAAAAUUGGCUCAUGAGGAACUUUUUGUUGCUCAUGAUAACUUGGUACAAAAUCAUGUGUUUCUCACUAAGAAGCUUUCUAAUGAAGAAAUUAAAACAAGUGAGAGCUCAUCAUUUGGGUCAAAUGAUCAAUCACAUAUUGUUACUAACCCUUGUGAUGUAGGCAGGAAGCAUGUAUCCAGCUCUUGUGAUGAUUUAUUAUCUAUGCCAUGUUCUUCACAUUUAGGUGCUUGUUCUACUUCUAUGUCUUGUGAGACUAACCUUUUGAAGGAGAACAAUAAGCUCAAUGAACAAGUGAAGAAUUUGAGCAACAAGCUAGAGAGGUGCUAUAAUUCAAAAGUCACCUUUGAGUAUAUAUUAAAGACUCAAAGAAUCUAUGGUGACAAGUGUGGCCUUGGCUUCAAGGAGAAGAUGACAAAGGGCAAAAGAAAGCAAGAAAAGAGAAAGCUUUCUCAUUUCAUGUGCUAUCAGUGCCAUGAAGUGGGACAUCUUGCUAAUGGUUGCCCAAACAAAGAAAAGCUCAAGAAGAUGAAAGAAGAAGAGAGGCUCAAGCAUGUCAAGUGCUUCAAGUGUCGCACUUGGGGUCAUCUCACCUCAAUGUGCCCAACCAAGCAAUUGGUGAAGCAACAAGAAGAGCCUCAACCAAAGCCACAAGUUGAGCAAGAGAAAACACCCCAAGCUCUAGUCAAGAUCUACCAUGAUGGUGAUGACUUGAUUAUGAAGAAGAAGAAGACAAGAAGGGGUGGAAGAGCAAGGCAUCCAAUCCAAAUCCAAGAUGCCAAGAUGAUGAGCAAGAAUGAAGACAAGAAGAAAGCUUAUGCUCACAUAAAGUGCUUUGAGUGCAAGGAUGAUGGACACUUUGCCUCGAGGUGUCCUACCAAGCUUGAGAAGAAGGCUCAAGCAACUCUCAAGAGGCAAGGCAACGAGAAGCAACAUAUGAGCAAGAAAGAAAAGGCUCAAUCCAAAAGAAGUUUCUACUUAUGCCGGGAAAGGGGACACAUGGAUCAUUCAUGUCCCCUAGGUAAUAAUUCUAAGCCUAUUUCAAUUAAUGAUAAUUCUAUGCUUAGAAAGGAUGGUAAUGGUACCUCUAUGGUUGCUAUUGCAAAACAUCCCGCUAUGCAUACUAAGGCAUCGCCUAAGUAUGUUGCACCUAACUUGAGUGGACCCAAACUAGUUUGGGUACCAUAUAAAAGUGGAUGAUUAUUUGUAGGACUGUUGAUAUUUAGGAACGCAAUAAGGAAUUGAUCCACAAGCGCACGGAUAUCGGUGAGCACUUCACCCGGGAGGUUAUCCAGAGUAUCGUAUUUAUUUUUUUUACCACUAGGAGAAAGAGUGCAUCUGACUAACCCGGUCUAUUACUACUAACCCUUUAGGCAACAAAGAAUGUUUCUCGAUGUGAGUGAUAAAUAGAGAAGACUACAACCGUAAUCUCCUUCUAACCUUGGUAAUGAUGAUCUACUGUUCUAUUGGGGAGGCUAACGGAAUCUAGACACCACAAAGGAUGUUCAACCCGCACCUAUAAACCCUAUCCUUCCUGCUAACGAGAUAUGGUCUGCAAAGGUAACUCGGAAAUGUCACGUUCCUCGUUACUACCACGGUCUAGCUAGUCAGGGAAUAUCUAUGAGUAUCCUAGCUUAAACACCACGUCUACGCUAGAGAUGAUUACUCUAAACUCUACGCGAAGAGAUUAAAGUAAACUCAUAAACCAAAAGAACAAUAAAACAAGUACUUACUAGAAUUUAGAAGUCGAAAUACUGAAGAAUCCUAGGAGCAAGCCUCGGGUAAGGAGAAAUUGAUCCCGUAGGUACAGGCUCGGAGUAGACACCGACAAGCCGGGCUUCCUCCGAUCUACACCUCCACUCUAUCUCUCUCAAUCUAGUAGAAACUAGAAGAUCUAUUUCUACUCACAUUGGUUGCUAAGCCUAAAAAGAAAUAUUAUUUAGAGAAGAGGUUUUCCUUCGAGGGCUCCCCUCAACUCUAUGAUAAACUUGUCUCCUCCAGGGGCCAGGGGGUCUGGUUUUAUAGUCCCCUCAAGUGAACAUGAGCCAUUGGAUCAAACCGACAUUGAUUGGACGGUUAUCCUUGAUCCUUUAGGUCGGUGGAGAUUAGUCCCGCAAAAGAGUCCUGAUCCAACUCCAGAGGGGGGCGGGCGCCCAGGUCAAUGUUGACGGUCCUUAAGUAUCAAAUUUAAUUAUCAAAUAAACAAAGAAAAGGAUCCAAAUGAAAUCAACAUCUAGACUUAGGGUUUUAUCUAACAGAAUUCCACGAGUUUUGGUGUUUGUCUAUUUCUUGCAGUGGGGUUAUCAGGAAAUAUGGAAGAAAGGCCCACACGUCGGGAUUACAUAGAGAUAUUAACAAGCCGUGCAAUUAUCUUACAUCUAGAAGACUCCAGAAGCCACGAGACCGAAGCGGAGACGAAACGGGGCCAGAGGCAGGGCGCUCGCCCUGUUCCCCUGGGCGCCCGCCCCCUCCCUGAGUCCAAUCAGGACUCUGCUUCGUGGGAGAUCUCCACCGACCUAAAGGAUGAAUCUAAACCAUACAAUCUAAGUCGGUUUGAUCCAACGGCCCAUAUUCACUUGAAGGGACUAUAAAACCAGACCCCCUAGCCCUUGGAGGAGAGAGCCUCUCAACCCUAAUUCAUUAUUCUCAAGGGAGAAGAAGCCCCUGAUCAAGAUUAGAGCCACCACAUCAAUUAGAUAUCUAGAUUAGCAUAGCUACAUAGGAUUAGAACUAGAAGGAGUCAAUCUUCGAUUGGUUUUCGUAUCUGUCAAGAGGAUUCUUGGUAAUUCUCUAAUUGUGCUUCUAAUUGUUCUUCAAUAUUAUGAAUAUGACUUUGUUCUACUUCAAUAUAUUGCUUAUGACUUUGCUCUACUUGUUUAUAUUCAAGAUUAUAUUGUUCUUAGUUUAUCAUAGUUAUGUACUUGGCUUAGUUAGAUUGGAUCUAUAUACAUGCUUAGGAUCGUAUAGCGUUUAUCCAUCGGAUCCAUGGGUAAAUGAAAGAUAUUGUGUAGGCGUGGUGCUUAUACCGUAUUUAUCUACGAUUGUACCCAAUAUGCCAGAUCGUGAGGUAGUUCGUGAUAGUGACAGCUUCAUUGAUUCUUAUAUAGUCCCCCUCUCGUAUAUUGGGCUGGCAGAGCAAUAUUAUUAUAGGGGAGUGAUUGCUAUGUUUCUCAUAUUCCUUGCUAAUAUCACUAUGCAUGGGCGUAGUCUUGUCUCACAAUGAUUGCUAAGUAUGCUUGCACUAACUAUGAUAAUGCUAGACUAUAUAGUUGAGAAUAACUUAGGAAAUAUUCUUGUAGUUCGUUCUAAUUCCAUGCUAAUGACUUUCUAGAGUAUCUAAUUGAGGUGCUUAUCAUAUUUAUUAUGUGGCUAGUUAUGAUCAGAUUAAUUAUCUUUGUCACUAUUCAUUACUUCAUAUAUCUUUUAUGUGACACUUACCCCUGUAUGAAAGAGUUAGAUAAUUGUUCUCAAUUACAUAUGCAAUGAUAGAUACUCAAUCUCAUAUUCUAUUCUGUAAUCACUAUUGAUGAUUGCUAAUCCCUUCCUAGUGGUAAAAAUAUAAAUAACGAUACCUGGAAUACUUCUUGGUUAAAAUGCUACAUCGGUAUUAAUCUGUGUGCUUGCAGAUCCCAUUCAUUAUUUAUUUAGAAGAGCAAUUGCAUAUUUCAAUACCGCGUCUCUCAUGUCAUGCUGGGGAUGACAACUUGGCUUAAGUGGUAUGAGGGAUAGGUUUGGCAUUUUUGGCACCGUUACUAGAAUUAGGAAUUGUCUACUUUUGGUAGUGAUGUUAAGAAUAUCCAACAAGCAUUUUUGGCGCCGUUGCUGGGGAAGGUUGAUUACUAAUCAGGAAUGGAAUAAAAGAUUUUGAGUUAUCAUUCGCAUCACUAAUCUGAUUGAGCUUAUCUAUUCUCUCAUACAGUUUUACCCCGAUAUUUUUCUAUUUUAUCUUAUGCAGGGGAAUGUAUGAAUAGAAGACAUCUUCCAGGAAAUUUUGUUGACAAUCCCGAAGCAUUAUUCAAGAAGAUGAGAGCCAAGCUCAAGAAGAGAUCAUCAACACUUCAGCAAGAAGCUUCAUCCAAUCAAGAAGAUCACCGGAACUUGUCUUCAGAGUUCGAAGCCAUGGCGAACAAAUCAAUCCGCGAGUUCUCAGCUCCCACUACGGACAACAUCCGCACUGGACCUGCUGCAGAGAUCGAUGGCAACUUUGAGGUCAAGCCUGGACUUAUCAACAUGGUGCAACCCAACCAGUUCUGUGGGAAGGCACACGAAGAUGCUAGUGCUCAUCUACAACACUUCCUGGAGAUUUGCAACACAUUUACCAUAUCAGCAGUUUCCAAAGAUGCUAUACUACUUCGCCUCUUCCCAUUCUCACUGUUAGGAAGAGCGAAGCAGUGGUUCUACGCUACAAAGGAGAAGAAUACUACGUGGGCACUCUACUCAACAAACUUUCUGGCUAAGUUCUUUCCCAUGGGCAAGACCAAUGCUCUCCGUGGGAAGAUUACAAGUUUUUAGCAACAAAAUGAUGAAUAUGUUCCAGAAGCAUGGGAGCGCUUUCAAGACUACAUCCUAGAAUGUCCCCAUCAUGGAAUGGAGAGUUGGCUACUGAUGCAGACGUUUUAUCAUGGGCUCGGCAACAGUGCCCGAGAAACCAUGGAUGUUGCAGCUGGAGGAGCAUUCUUAUCACUUACUAUACCACAAGCCACAGCUCUUGUGGAGAAGAUGGCGUCCAAUCAAAGCUGGAAUGAAGAGAGGACCCAGACACGCAAGAGAGGUGGAGGUAUGCAUCAGCUCAAGGAGGUAGACAUGGUGUCUGCAAAGCUAGACCUACUCAUGAAGAAGCUCGACGAUAGAGCUGGAGAUAAGAAGGAAGUUAUGCACAUCUACGACUCUCACAUGACUUGUGAGGAGUGUGGAGAUACUGGACACUCAGGCAACCACUGCCCUGAGAUGCUUGAGGAUGUGAACUACAUCAACAAUAACAACAACAACCACUACAAUCGUCCUCAACAAAAUGAAAGGUUGGAAUCAACAGAGGCCUAACUACUCAGGUAAUUAUCAAGGUAACAAUUCUUACAACAAUAAUAAUAAUUUUCCACCUUUGAGAGAGUUAGUAUCUAAUCAAGGUAAGCUAAUGGAUAACCUAUCUAAGAAAUUGGCAUCUAAUGAUAAAAUGCUAGAAAAUAUAAAUAAUAGAAUGGAUAAUUUUUCUACUACCAUCAAGAAUCAAAUUAGCUUUAAUAAAAUGAUUGAAUCUCAGUUAAAUCAAAUAGUUGUUGCUGUUCCUGCUACUAACCCCGUUAUACCAUCACAACCGGAAGGAUUAGAAUCUGCAAAUCUUGUAGACAUGUUUGAUGCAGGUAAAUGGAGUAACCCCGUCACUGAAUUCACUACUGACCUUCUGCCGGUCAAGAGAGGUGAUCCAGGAUGCCCCGUCAUCCCGAUCUCCAUCGGCAUGGUGGACGUCCCAGAAGCACUCUGUGACUUUGGCUCCAGCGUCAACAUUAUACCCAGGGUACUCUAUGAGAAAUUCUUUACAUAUCCUUUAUUAGAAACAACCAUGUGUUUGCAGUUUGCAGAUCAGACGAUAACUUUUCCAAAAGAGAUAUUGAGGAACCUUUGUGUCCGAGUUGGUACCUUGUAUGCCCCAGCAGACUUCAUAGUAGUAGAGACCGGAAAUGAUGAGAGAGCACCUAUCAUCUUAGGGAGGCCAUUCUUGAACACCACGGGAGCUAUCAUCUACGUCAGUGCUGCCAAGAUCAGUUUCUACAUCAAAGGGAGGAAGGAGACAUUUUUCUUCAAGAACAAGACUACACAAAUUCCAGAUCAAUCUAGACGUGAAUCAAGGAAGAGGACCAACAGGAGGAACAGGAACAAGCAAGUAUGGACCGAGUCAGCUAAGAUGGUCACUGCAGUUCAUGGAGGCCAAGAUCAUCAACUUAAGUCACCGUGUUUGACCAAGAAGGACGACCCAGGAAUGCCAAGCAUCUAUUGCUCCAUAAAUGGAUACAACUUCUACAAGAUGUUUUGCGACAACGGAUCGGGCGUCAACAUAAUGGCCACAGUCACCUAUCGGCUCUUUUUCGGAACCAUGCCCCUAAGACCAACAUACAUUCAACUCCAGAUGGAAGAUCAGACAUUUCGAGAAGUUAAAGGAAUAGUAACUGAUGUCCCAGUCAAGAUAGACGAUUAUUUUGUCUACACAGACUUUCAGGUUAUUGACAUGGGAGAAGAUGAGUACGAUCCACCCAUCAUCCUUGGAAGACCGUUCCUCAGCACCGUUAAAGCAAUUAUCUAUAUUGGAACCGGAGAAGUCCAUAUGCACUUCCCCUCAGAGAAGGUACUACGUUAUUUUACUGACCCUAACUAUAUCAUUGAAGAAUCUAAGCAGGUAAGAAAACAACGCAACCGCAACGAGAGGAGGCAGAUCAUCAAGGACAGAUGGGCAGACUACGAAGGAGAAGUGAUAAGGUCAGAAGACGUAGAGUUUAACUAGAACUAUCCUGAGGAGACUGAAGCACCAAGUUAGGUGUGGAGAGAGAAGAUAACUAUACAUGAAGAGGAGGCGCCGCCGGAAGUACUGACUACGCCACCCAACGAAUCCUAGGACAAUUAAGAAAACGGAGAGUCCCGUUCGGAGGACUUAAAAACACCGAACGUCUUGCCAAGAGGUAAACUUAGUAGUUAUCCUUUCCCUUUCAAUUAUGUCAACUAGUUUACUUAGUUAAUCAGGUUCAUAAUAUCCUAAAAAGAAAAUAAAAAUGUGAAAAACAGUAAGCCCCAUGUGAGUAUACGAGUGGCAUAAAACCCAUAAGUACAUUCACUGUGGUGGCAUAAAAAUAAAAUAAAUAUUUCAUUUCUGCUUUAUAAAAUGAAAAUAUAAAAAUAGGGAGUAAUAAUUAUUAAGGAGUCUCAACAUGACAAAGGCUAGAUAUUUAUGCUAACACUUAAUCAGUUCCACAAGCUUUGUUGUCUAUUUGAGCUCCACAGAAUAUUAAGAAUCAAGAAGACUAGCAGACGGAGGACAUUCUAAUCGCUGUCAGAAUGCUGCUGACUUUCAAAUAUACCUCUGUCACCUGCUAGCUACAUCAAGAGAAAUUACGUCAAAAUUCAGCUUGGGGGAGAGCACCCCCAUUUAUCUCGAUAAGUAUUUCUAUCAAUCUAUCUUUAUACUUAUACUAUAUUAAAAUACAUAAACUAUGAAAAACCAAACAAAGAUUUUAUGCUUAUAUAUAUAUAUAUAUAUAUAUAUAUAUAUAUCUUUUGCUUAGUAUGUUUAAUAAAUAAAUAAAGUGGCUAUGCUAAUCUGUAUCUUAAUAAUAAAACUCAAGCAUGGUUAUGAUGAAUAGUUGCUCUGCCUAAUUUGCAUAUUUUAAGUUCUCUCUCAAGUUUAGAUAUAACUGUUAUAAUUUAAGGCUUGCUCUAGACCUAAACUUGUGGGAUGAAAACUUGAUCUGAAGUCUAAGUUGUUAACGGAUACGAUAUGGGAAGGUUGAGCUGCUGUUUAUCUGUUCCUAGAGAUGCUAGAAUUCUGGAGAAUUUUAUCUUUAAAAAUCUUUAAAAUAUUGCAUGAUGAGUUCCUGUAUGAUGAGAGUUUAAAUUCCUACCACAGCCAUAUAUACAUGCUUGCUAGAUCUUGAGCCACACAUUUACUAUUUACUGCUUAUGAGCAUUGAGUGUGGUCAAGCUGUGUAAACCCUUAGGAGCUUGUCAUGUGGUUAAAUCAAGAUUCACUUGCACGAUUACUCAUACAUGCUACUUCUACUCCGGAAGUACCAUCCACAUAUAUCCACUCAUUUCCAUCUCCAGUUUUACCCAAAAUUAUUCUACUCCUAAUCCGGGAGAGAAUAGCCAAAAAACAUUUUCCUAUCCCUGUUAUUCCCUGUGAAAUAAAUGCUCCAGUUAUUUUGGUUACUACCACUUGCUACAUUAUUUCAGGAGAUGAGUGCUCUAGAAAGAAAAAAAAAGAAAAAAAAGAAAAAAAAAUAAAUAAUAUACGAGGAAAUAAAAAGGGGCAAGUGCCCGGAACCUCGAAGAAAAGAAAACUAAGAGCAUCUCAUUCUCCUCAUAAAGUUUCAAAAGCAAGGAAGGUAUGUAUCCCCUCAAAGAGCAAAAGUAGAAUUAGACUUCCACCACCAUUGUUUUCACCAUUGUUAUCACCAUCAUCACCAUACACCAUUCAUUCGCCACACAUGCACAUCUUGAUUUGGCUUAUUGAUUUGUUUCUUUGGAUCCAUGGUUUGACUAUGCAAUAAAUGUCUUGUAAGUAUGUAUAUUUUAUCUCCCACCUAUGAGCUCCAGAUAUUAAAGCCUUAUUAGAGUAGGGUGAGAGAGAAGACAAUGUCACUAUGCUUCAUACCACAAAUACUACAUAUCUUGAGAGAAGGCAUAUACCAUCACUGCCUUGGUAAGGAUCCAAAAAUACCACAAAAGAGAGACCUGAGAGAAUCAUACAAGGAAUUUCUGAGUUUUAUUUGAAAAUCUGCAAAAAAAACCCCAGAGCUAUAGCUGAUCAAGAAUAAGAGACAUGGCACUUGGCUAGACUGUUCUAUCUUUUAACCACUCAAGACAGAAGUGACAGUUACAAGUGCCAUGGUAAAGGUAAAGUAAGUAAGUUUUAAGUCUUGACAGUUUACUCUAACUCAGAGAUGAGAUCUUAUUUAAAAAGCAUGUGUACAUCAAUUUUUAAAAAUAUUGUAACAAUUUAUGAUCCAUAGCUGAGUCUAUCCUUGCUCAGGGACGAGCAAGAGGUAAGCUUGGGGGAGUUUGUUGACGGUCCUUAAGUAUCAAAUUUAAUUAUCAAAUAAACAAAGAAAAGGAUCCAAAUGAAAUCAACAUCUAGACUUAGGGUUUUAUCUGACAGAAUUCCACGAGUUUUGGUGUUUGUCUAUUUCUGCAGGGGGUUAUCAGGAAAUAAGGAAGAAAGGCCCACAUGUCAGGAUUACAUAGAGAUAUCAAUGCACCGCGCAAUUUUCUACCAUCUAGAAGACUCCAGAAGCAACGAGAAGGAAGCGGAGGCCGAAAGGGGCCAGGCCCAGGGCGCCCGACCUGAGGACCUGGGCGCCCGCCCCCCUCUGGACUCUGUUCCGGACUCUCUUCGCACACGACGUUCCACCGACCUAUUGGAUCCAGAAUAACAUAGUACCACCUCGCCUAUCGACCCAAAAACGCAUAGAAGGGGAGGACUAUAUAAGGAGACCCCCUCUGGCCCCUGGAGGAGACAAGAAAUUAUCAUAGAGAUUGAGGGGUGCCCUCGAAGGAAAACCACUUCUCUAAAUAAUAUUUCUUUUUAGGCUUAGCAACCAAUGUAAAGUAGAAAUAGAUCUUCUAGUUUCUACUAGAUUGAGAGAGAUAGAGUGGAGGUGUGGAUCAGAGGAAGGCCGGCCUGUCGGUGUCUACUCCGAAUUGUACCUACGGGAUCAAGUCUCCUAACCCGAGGCUUGCUUCUAAGAUUCUUCAGUAAUUCGACUUCUAAUACUAGUAAGUUCUUGUUUUAUUGUUCUUUGGUUUAUGAGUUUACUUUAAUCCUCUUCCGGUUGAGUAUUAGAGUAAUCACUUGUUAGCGUAAACGUGGUGUUUAGGCUAGGGUACUCAUAGAUAUCCCCUGACUAGCUGGACCGUGGUAGUAGCGAGGAACGUGACAUUUCCGAGUUACCUUUGUAUCCCAUAUCUUGUUAGCAGGACGGGUAGGUUUAUAGGUGCGGGUCGAACAUCCUUUGUGUUGUCUAGAUUCGGUGAGCCUCCCCAAUAGAACAGUAGAUCAUCCUUACCAAGGUUAGAACGAGACUAAGGUUGCAGUCUUCUCUAUACAUCACUCACAUCGAGAGACAUUCUUUGUAGCCUAAAGGGAUAGUAGCAAUAGAUUUGGUUAGUCAGAUGCACCCUUUCUCCCAGUGGUAAAAAUAUAAAUACGAUAACUCUGCAUAACCUCCCGGGUGAAAUGCUCACCGAUAUCCGUGCGCUUGCGGAUCAUUUUCUAAUUGCGUUACCAAAUAUCAACAGUGAACAUGAGCCAUUGGAUCAAACCGACAUUGAUUGGACGGUUAUUCUUGAUCCUUUAGGUCGGUGGAGAUUAGUCCCACAAAAGAGUCCUGAUCCAACUCCAGAGGGGGGCGGGCGCCCAGGUCAACUGGGCGGGCGCCCAGUGCCUGGCCCCGGUCGGCCUCCGCUUCCUUCCCGUGGCUUCUGGAGUCUUCUAGAUGGUAGAAAAUUGCGCGGUGCGUUGAUAUCUCUAUGUAAUCCCGACAUGUGGGCCUUUCUUCCUUAUUUCCUGAUAACCCCCUGCAGAAACACAUAAACAACAAAACUCGUGGAAUUCUGUCAGAUCAAACCCUAAUUCUAGGUGUUGGUUGCAUAUUGGUCCUUUCUCUUGUUUAUUUGAUAAUUAAAAUUGAUACUUAAGAACCGUCAACAAAUAACCCCAUACUUAGGCUUUUACUCGUCCUCGAGAAAAGGAUGGUUAAGAACAAUAUUUGCAGGGUGUUAAAAUCCACUGUGUACUAUAGUCAGGGAAGUAUAUGGUUAAGAGUAAAGAUCCUUUCUUCUUAAUCCUGUCACUUGGAGUUUUUGUAUAUUUUUGAGAGAAAGUUAGCAUACCUUUUAUCCUCAUAGUUUCUCUCAGAUCACUCAUUAUCUUUUAUAUAUCUCACUGAGGCUGUUUUAAUUUGCAAAAAUUCUCAAGCAUACUUACUUUGCAUUUAUUGCCUGAUCAAAACGGGAUCCGAGGAGGGGAAUGUCAUACUCUUAGAUCAAAGACUUUGGAAAUUAAAAUCUUUGUCAACUCUUGCUGGCAUAUUGCUUAUUAGAGGGACCAUGGGCUAUUAUUUUCUUCUUUUCUCUCUUUUUUAUUUAAGUGGAUACCGAGGUACCCCUAAUUCUACUGCCGGACACUUGUCCAUUUUUUCUGUGAGGUUAUCGAGCACUUGCUCCUUUUUAUUUCAUUGAAAUAUCUUUAUUUUUGCAUAGCCCAUGCCUCUAAUGCAAUAAUACUUCGGAAGAGUGAAUAUUUCUGAAUAAAUGUCUUGAUCUUAGGAGCAUGAUAAAUCUCUCAACAAGGGUCUAACUCAUUUUGAACAAACUCAAUACAGAGUAGAUAGCUUGUAUAGUCAUAAUUAAUAUUUUCAGUUUUAGUAGGCAUAUAAAACACUGAGGAUGGUAGCUAGAAUUUUUGAAUAAAUUUUGAAAUAAAUUCUCCAAGCAACAAUGAUAUCAAGAAUAAGAAACUCAUACUCUACCAUCUCAUAGUCCAUAAUGACUUAAGUAACACAGGGUUUUAAAAUGAUUUUUCAAUAAUUGCAAGUUUCAGGAAAUAUCACAGAGUGAGAUCAAUCAUAUUUAGAAACAUUUUAAGCUUGUUAAUUUAUCAUGUCGGAAACAGUAUUCUGCAUAAUCCAAGAUAUAUAUGUGUAUGUGUAAAGUGUGCAGAGUGUGUACGUGAAUCAUGGAGUGGUGUAGUCGAAGUGUGUUUGGCAUGUCGAGGGAUCUCCCCCAUACUUGUUUUCUGCUUUCUUGCACAAGAAUAAAGUAGAGACACACAAGAUAUAAUAAUAAUAAUAAUAAUAAUAAUAAUAAUAAUAAUAAUAAUAAUAAUAAUAAUAAUAAUAAUAAUAAUAAUAAUAAUAAUACUCUUUAUUAAUUCUGAGGCAUUUAUUACAACUGACUAGUAGCAAACUGACGAUAAUAGUAGCAAACUGACAAUAAUAGUAAACCUAAACCGAAUUUAAAGAUAGAUGACUAAGAUGCAUUGCCUCAAGGUCUAAUCUAGAUAACUCAGCGGCGCUCUAACUCCUUAAUCUUCUUAUUGGCACUGGCAAGAUCCUGCCUAAGGCCUAUUAUAAUGGUGUUGUGGUUAGAGAGCUGCCUAGUGAGGGAAUUAACUGAGGACUGGAGGUCUAUGAUGACUCUGUCUAGCCUGCGAAUGUCCUCAUCAAUAUCUACUAUAGUCUUGCGACGCUUGGAAGGUGUCUCAAAAGCAUUGAGAGCGUGCUUCGAGGCUGCCUUUGGAGGGGUGAAACGGACUUUAGCUGCUCUAAUCCCUUCGAAGUAAGGCCUCUCCUCCUUCAUAGUGUAGUGAAUGCUGCUGAUCUCGCCGCUCCAGUUGGUCUUAACUCCAACGACCCUCUCAUUGGGUCUAGGUGGAAGGAUCCUCGUGCCGGUUGGCACCUUGAUGGUGGUCUUCGACUUGGAUGAUGAUCCCUUGAGGAGUAGGGGUUGUGGCGGUGCGGUGAGAACUUGUUGAGCAUGAUAGGAUUGGGUGGAGCUGCGUUGGCAUAAUGGCAUGGCUUCUAGCUGUCGCUCUAUGUUGGCUGGGACAAGAGCACGGGCAUCGGGGUCUUCCGCAGGCUCCAUGUUGAGGUUGAAGGGGACGACUUCCCAAUCAUCGUGGAACUUCUCGGCCAUUGGAGCAGCGAGGAACUAAACAAGCUCUAAUUGAAGAAGAAGAGAAGGCUUGGUGGAUUGGUGUUUGAAAACUGAUGUCAGGGGUCUGUUUAUAUAGGGGUCAAAAAGUGCCUCUAGGGGUUGUUCUGGUUGCUCCCGUCGAUGUGCGUGAGAAACUUUCCAUCUGAGGGAUUAUUCGGAUUACCAUAAGUGCAUUUUCCAUAACAGAGAAAAUCGGGACCGAGGGGGAACAGGAGGUGGGCGCCCGCCCACUUGAUCAGGGCGCCCGCCCUCUCCCUGUCUCCUCUGUGGGCCCACUUCCUCGAGCGUGUUUCUAGAUGCAGACUUAAUUAGGAAUAUAUAUAUAUGACCCAAAAACGUCAGACUAAAAAGGUCGGGCUCUAAUUCUCCAUGGGAAGAAAAAAAUGGAUUACGUCUAUUUCUUCUAAUUCUUUAUUGGGCUCUAAAAACAAUUUAAGACGUUGACCAUUUACCUUCAAUAACGUACCUUCAUCAUUUUGAAGUGUGAUAGAUCCAUGGGAUGAUGAAUUAAUUACCUUGAAUGGUCCUUCCCAUUUGCUCCGGAGUAUUCCAUGCCCGAAAAGCUUCACCCUGGAAUUAAAAAGUAAUACCUUAUCUCCAGGUGUGAACUCCUUCUUCUUGAUUCUCUUGUCAUGCCACCUUUUGACUCUUUCUUUGUAGAUCUUCGAAUUGUGACAUGCUUUCUCUCGCCAUUCUUCCAAUUCUGAUAGUUGCAUUCUUCUAUGAUCUCCAGCAACAUCUAGGUCCAUAUUCCAUCUCUUUAUGGCCCAGUGUGCUUUGAACUCUAGUUCAACAGUUAGGUGCCAAGUCUUCCCGUACACCAAUUGGUAUGGAGACAUUCCAAUUGGGGUCUUGUAUGCUGUCCGGUAUGCCCAGAGUGCAUCGGGUAACUUGUCUUUCCACGCCGUUCCCAUUUCAUUUACUGUCUUCUGAAGAAUAUUCUUGAUUUGCUUGUUGGAAGUCUCUGCUUGGCCACUUGUCUCAGGAUGAUAGGGGGUAGCGACGUUGUGACGGAUUCCAUGUUUUGAUAGAUAUUGCUUGAAGCGUUUAUCGAUGAAGUGUGUUCCUCCAUCACUUACUACUACUCUGGGGACUCCAAAUCUUGGAAAUAUAAUUUCUUCAAACAUCCUCUUUGAACUGAUGUUGUCGGCAUGCUUGCAAGGUAAUGCCUCUACCCACUUGGAGACGUAGUCAACUGCCACCAAGAUGUACUCACACUUCUUUGAUGGAGGAAGUGGACCCAUAUAGUCUAUUCCCCAGACAUCAAAGAGCUCAAUCUAAAGGUUGUUGGUGAGUGGCAUUGCAUCCCUUGUAUUUAUGUUUCCGUGCCUUUGACAUGACCCACAUCUUCUGAUAUAUUGCUUCGUAACUUCAUACAUUGUAGGCUAGUAGAAUCCACACUGCCAGAUCUUUGAAUGUGUACGGAAUGCUCCAUAGUGACCUCCAUAUGGUGAUGAAUGACAUCUGUCGAUGAUCUUCCAUCCUUCCUCAGUGGUCACACAUCUCCUGAGUAAGCCAUCAGAGCAUACUCGGAAGAGGUAUGGCUCAUCCCAUAUAUGUGAACGACUUUUUUGAAUAAGCUUCUUCUUGUUUGCUCCUGGUGGUACAUACCCUGAAACCAUAAAAUUAACAAUAUCUGCAAACCAGGGGUCAGACCUAUUAAUCCCGUAGAGCAUGUCGUCCCGGAGUGAAUCAUUGAUGGGGGUUUCCUGUGGACUCUUAAAAUACAUUCUAGACAAGUGAUCUGCAACAGAAUUUUCUACUCCCUUUUUAUCUUUUAUUUCUAAGUCAAAUUCUUGGAGUAAUAAGAUCCAUCUAAUCAGGCGAGGUUUAGCAUCCUUUUUAGUGAGCAAAUAUUUUAGUGCAGCAUGAUCAGUGUAAACAAUUAUUUUAGCUCCAACUAAAUAUCAAUGGCAAAGACAACAGCCAGAAGCUCUUUUUCAGUAGUUGCAUAGUUAAGUUGAGCUCCUGUCAAAGUUUUACUGGCAUAACUUCUUAUUUUUAGUUUGUCCCAACACUGCCCCCAUAGCAUAAUCACUAGCAUCACACAUAAUUUCAAAAGGCAACGACCAAUCAGGGGGUUGAAUGAUUGGUGCAGAGAUGAGUGCUUUCUUUAAUAAAUAAAAGAUGUUAGACAUGCAUCAUCAAAUUCGAAAGGAGCAUCCUUGGCUAGCAAAAGAGUAAGUGAUCUAGCAAUGAAUGAAAAAUCUUUUAUGAAUCUACGAUAAAAACCAGCAUGGCCAAGAAAGCUUCGAAUUCCUUUUAUAUUCACAGGUGGAGGUAGUUGUUCAAUUACUUCAAUUUUAGCUUUGUCUACCUCAAUACCUCUUUCACACACUAGGUGUCCCAACACUAUUCCUUCCCUAACCAUGAAAUGACAUUUUUCCCAAUUAAGGACUAAGUGCUUUUCUUCACAUCUUUGCAAAACUUUGUCUAAGUUUUCAAGACAACUAUCAAAAGUUUUUCCAUAAACAGAGAAAUCAUCCAUGAAAACUUCCAUAAUCUCUUCAAUCAUAUAAAAAAAUAUAGACAUCAUGCAUCUUUGAAAAGAAGAUGGUGCAUUACAUAACCCAAAAGACAUUCUACGGUAAGCAUAAGUUCCAUAUAGGCAUGUAAAAGAGGUUUUGCUUUGAUCAUCUGGAUGGAUCGGGAUCUGAUGAUACCCUAAAUAUCCAUCUAAGAAACAGAAGAACAAAUGGUUUGCUAAUUGCUCUAGCAUCUCAUCUAUGAAAGGUAAAGGAAAGUGAUCCUUUCUCGUGGCUUUGUUUAGUUUUCUAUAGUCUAUGCACAUCCGCCAUCCUAUGACGGUGCGUUGCGGAAUUAGCUCGUUCUUUUCAUUCAUAAUAACAGUCAUGCCUCCCUUUUUAGGCUCAACUUGUACUGGGCUUACCCACUCACUGUGCGGCACAGGAUAUAUAAUCCCUACAUGCAGCAACUUUAUAACUUCCUUUUUAACUACCUCUCUCAUAGUGUUGUUAAGUCUACGUUGGGGUUCUCGAGAAGGUGAAACAGAAGGAUCUGUUGGAAUACGAUGGGUACUAAUCAUAGGACUGAUUCCUGUAAGAUCUUGAAGUGAGUAGCCGAAAACUGAUUGAUGUUUCUCAAGAAUGGUCAUUAAUCGCAGAGUUUGCUCCUGAGUGAGUUUAUCGCUAAUGAUCACAGGAAACUCUAGAUUAUUGUUUAGGAAAGCAUAGAUAAGACCGGGUGGUAAAGUUUCAAGCUCUAUGGGGGGUCUAGGUGUUUCUGCAAACUCAUCUAAGGGUUCAGGUGCAGAAGGUUCGGCUUCUUCUUCUAUGAAGAAAGGAGUUUCGUCAUCUAAGUCUGAUUCUUCUAAAAGUUCAAGAGAUGCAGCCUUUACCUCCACCAUAGGAUCAGGCAAAAGAUAUGACUCGGCCUUAUUAUUCAAAGAGUGUGAAAUUGUUAUUGGGAUUUUAAAAGCUUUUCCAAAAGAAAUGUGUAGCUUUCCAGUAUGACCUUCAUAAAGGAGUCUUCUAAAAGGUUGUCCUAUCAACAGGUCGAAGUCCCAUGUAUCAAAGAUAUAGAAGUUCAAAUGACCAUGGAGCCUUCUACCGUAAGAGGUAGGACAUUAAUAAUUCCAAGACUGGGGACUAAUCAUCCCGAAGAUUCCUUUAUGACCUUUAUUGUGGGGGUUAAGACAAGAUUUUUAAAUAGUUUAAGUGCAAAAGAUUCAGACAUGAUGUUGAUCCCCACAACAGGAUUAUAAAGAGCAUUAAAUCGAUAGAAUUAUAAGCACAGCGUAUAGUUAUAGAGGGUGUGUCCAAACGGAUCACAUCAGAGGAAAGCUCUAAUUCCUCCAACCACUCGCUACUCAUGACUGAGAUAAGCUCUCUGAAUUGAUAUUCACUUGGCAAAUAAAUGCUAAACUGGCCGUUUUAGGGUUUGUCAAUAGAAUGGUAGUUUGAAAUGUUUCCAAAAUCGGCAAAAAGAUCGGAUUCUAUAUCCAGCAUGAAGUCUGGUGGUGGAAUUUCUUCCUUUUGUGGCUCAGAACUUGGUAUAGCUAAAGUAGAUGAAGAAUUUGGCAGAGUGUCUACUUUGGCUUCGUAGGUUUCAUCAUGAAGGGUAUUAUCCAUCUCAGCUUCUAGGAUUCUAUCUAGGAUCACUCUAGCUUCAUCAGUAGGGAUGUGAAAGAAAGAACCUCUAGACAUUGUGUGUAGCAUUUGUUUGUGAUUUUUCUAAAGACCUCGAAAAAAGUGAAAUAAAAGAACAGGGUCUUCAAGAUUAAGGUUUGGACCAGAUUCUAAAAGAUCAGAAAAACGUUUCCAAGAUUUUCCCAAAGUUUCAUUAUCUUUUUGUUUAAAAGAUAGGACUUCGAGUCUAAGGUCGCCGAUAUGAUCGAGGGAAUAAAAAUCUAGACAAAAGUUGGCUCGUAAAACUCCCCAUUCACCUCGCUGUUGACUUACCUUCUGACUGUAUCAUUGUCUAGCUUCUCCCCUUAAGGAAAAAGGAAAAAGCUUCCAACGUAAAGUUUUAUCAUAAAUGCCUUCAAUGCGAAGACAAUCACAUGUUUGCUCAAAAUCUCUAAUAUGAAGGUAAGGGUUUUCGUCUUCCUUUCCCGAAAAAGAUAGGAUUUGAAUCAUGGCAAUCAACCUAGAACUUAACCUAUACUGGGAUGUUUGGAUAGGCUGUGAUGACUCCCAUGGUAAAAGGUCAGUUUCCGAAGGUGUUGCAAAUUGGUAGAUUGAUUUAGAAUCUUGGUUCUCCAUAAGGUAAGAGUACAAUAAAUACAGAAUAUAAAAGAUAAGAAAAGAUAUAGAUACAAGCUAGUAGUAAGACUCAAGGUUAUCUCAGCAAACCGUCUUUCUCCCCGGCAACGGCGCCAGAAAUGCUUGUUGAUAUUUGGGAACGCAAUAAGGAAUUGAUCCGUAAGCGCACGGAUAUCGGUGAGCACUUCACCCGGGAGGUUAUCCAGAGUAUCGUAUUUAUUUUUUUUACCACUAGGAGAAAGAGUGCAUCUGACUAACUCAGUCUAUUACUACUAACCCUUUAGGCAACAAAGAAUGUUUCUCGAUGUGAGUGAUAAAUAGAGAAGACUACAACCGUAAUCUCCUUCUAACCUUGGUAAGGAUGAUCUACUGUUCUAUUGGGGAGGCUAACGGAAUCUAGACACCACAAAGGAUGUUCAACCCGCACCUAUAAACCCUAUCCUUCCUGCUAACGAGAUAUGGUCUGCAAAGGUAACUCGGAAAUGUCACGUUCCUCGUUACUACCACGGUCUAGCUAGUUAGGGAAUAUCUAUGAGUAUCCUAGCUUAAACACCACGUCUACGCUAGAGAUGAUUACUCUAAACUCUACGCGAAGAGAUUAAAGUAAACUCAUAAACCAAAAGAACAAUAAAACAAGAAUUUACUAGAAUUUAGAAGUCGAAAUACUGAAGAAUCCUAGGAGCAAGCCUCGGGUAAGGAGAAAUUGAUCCCGCAGGUACAAGAUCGGAGUAGACACCGACAAGCCGGGCUUCCUCCGAUCUACACCUCCACUCUAUCUCUCUCAAUCUAGUAGAAACUAGAAGAUCUAUUUCUACUCACAUUGGUUGCUAAGCCUAAAAAGAAAUAUUAUUUAGAGAAGAGGUUUUCCUUCGAGGGCUCCCCUCAACUCUAUGAUAAACUUGUCUCCUCCAGGGGCCAGGGGGUCUGGUUUUAUAGUCCCCUCAAGUGAACAUGAGCCAUUGGAUCAAACCGACAUUGAUUGGACGGUUAUCCUUGAUCCUUUAGGUCGGUGGAGAUUAGUCCCGCAAAAGAGUCCUGAUCCAACUCCAGAGGGGGGCGGGCGCCCAGGUCAAUGUUGACGGUCCUUAAGUAUCAAAUUUAAUUAUCAAAUAAACAAAGAAAAGGAUCCAAAUGAAAUCAACAUCUAGACUUAGGGUUUUAUCUAACAGAAUUCCACGAGUUUUGGUGUUUGUCUAUUUCUGCAGGGGGUUAUCAGGAAAUAUGGAAGAAAGGCCCACACGUCGGGAUUACAUAGAGAUAUUAACAAGCCGUGCAAUUAUCUUACAUCUAGAAGACUCCAGAAGCCACGAGACCGAAGCGGAGACGAAACGGGGCCAGAGGCAGGGCGCUCGCCCUGUUCCCCUGGGCGCCCGCCCCCUCCCUGAGUCCAAUCAGGACUCUGCUUCGUGGGAGAUCUCCACCGACCUAAAGGAUGAAUCUAAACCAUACAAUCUAAGUCGGUUUGAUCCAACGGCCCAUAUUCACUUGAAGGGACUAUAAAACCAGACCCCCUAGCCCUUGGAGGAGAGAGCCUCUCAACCCUAAUUCAUUAUUCUCAAGGGAGAAGAAGCCCCUGAUCAAGAUUAGAGCCACCACAUCAAUUAGAUAUCUAGAUUAGCAUAGCUACAUAGGAUUAGAACUAGAAGGAGUCAAUCUUCGAUUGGUUUUCGUAUCUGUCAAGAGGAUUCUUGGUAAUUCUCUAAUUGUGCUUCUAAUUGUUCUUCAAUAUUAUGAAUAUGACUUUGUUCUACUUCAAUAUAUUGCUUAUGACUUUGCUCUACUUGUUUAUAUUCAAGAUUAUAUUGUUCUUAGUUUAUCAUAGUUAUGUACUUGGCUUAGUUAGAUUGGAUCUAUAUACAUGCUUAGGAUCGUAUAGCGUUUAUCCAUCGGAUCCAUGGGUAAAUGAAAGAUAUUGUGUAGGCGUGGUGCUUAUACCGUAUUUAUCUACGAUUGUACCCAAUAUGCCAGAUCGUGAGGUAGUUCGUGAUAGUGACAGCUUCAUUGAUUCUUAUAUAGUCCCCCUCUCGUAUAUUGGGCUGGCAGAGCAAUAUUAUUAUAGGGGAGUGAUUGCUAUGUUUCUCAUAUUCCUUGCUAAUAUCACUAUGCAUGGGCGUAGUCUUGUCUCACAAUGAUUGCUAAGUAUGCUUGCACUAACUAUGAUAAUGCUAGACUAUAUAGUUGAGAAUAACUUAGGAAAUAUUCUUGUAGUUCGUUCUAAUUCCAUGCUAAUGACUUUCUAGAGUAUCUAAUUGAGGUGCUUAUCAUAUUUAUUAUGUGGCUAGUUAUGAUCAGAUUAAUUAUCUUUGUCACUAUUCAUUACUUCAUAUAUCUUUUAUGUGACACUUACCCCUGUAUGAAAGAGUUAGAUAAUUGUUCUCAAUUACAUAUGCAAUGAUAGAUACUCAAUCUCAUAUUCUAUUCUGUAAUCACUAUUGAUGAUUGCUAAUCCCUUCCUAGUGGUAAAAAUAUAAAUAACGAUACCUGGAAUACUUCUUGGUUAAAAUGCUACAUCGGUAUUAAUCUGUGUGCUUGCAGAUCCCAUUCAUUAUUUAUUUAGAAGAGCAAUUGCAUAUUUCAAUACCGCGUCUCUCAUGUCAUGCUGGGGAUGACAACUUGGCUUAAGUGGUAUGAGGGAUAGGUUUGGCAUUUUUGGCACCGUUACUAGAAUUAGGAAUUGUCUACUUUUGGUAGUGAUGUUAAGAAUAUCCAACAAGCAUUUUUGGCGCCGUUGCUGGGGAAGGUUGAUUACUAAUCAGGAAUGGAAUAAAAGAUUUUGAGUUAUCAUUCGCAUCACUAAUCUGAUUGAGCUUAUCUAUUCUCUCAUACAGUUUUACCCCGAUAUUUUUCUAUUUUAUCUUAUGCAGGGGAAUGUAUGAAUAGAAGACAUCUUCCAGGAAAUUUUGUUGACAAUCCCGAAGCAUUAUUCAAGAAGAUGAGAGCCAAGCUCAAGAAGAGAUCAUCAACACUUCAGCAAGAAGCUUCAUCCAAUCAAGAAGAUCACCGGAACUUGUCUUCAGAGUUCGAAGCCAUGGCGAACAAAUCAAUCCGCGAGUUCUCAGCUCCCACUACGGACAACAUCCGCACUGGACCUGCUGCAGAGAUCGAUGGCAACUUUGAGGUCAAGCCUGGACUUAUCAACAUGGUGCAACCCAACCAGUUCUGUGGGAAGGCACACGAAGAUGCUAGUGCUCAUCUACAACACUUCCUGGAGAUUUGCAACACAUUUACCAUAUCAGCAGUUUCCAAAGAUGCUAUACUACUUCGCCUCUUCCCAUUCUCACUGUUAGGAAGAGCGAAGCAGUGGUUCUACGCUACAAAGGAGAAGAAUACUACGUGGGCACUCUACUCAACAAACUUUCUGGCUAAGUUCUUUCCCAUGGGCAAGACCAAUGCUCUCCGUGGGAAGAUUACAAGUUUUUAGCAACAAAAUGAUGAAUAUGUUCCAGAAGCAUGGGAGCGCUUUCAAGACUACAUCCUAGAAUGUCCCCAUCAUGGAAUGGAGAGUUGGCUACUGAUGCAGACGUUUUAUCAUGGGCUCGGCAACAGUGCCCGAGAAACCAUGGAUGUUGCAGCUGGAGGAGCAUUCUUAUCACUUACUAUACCACAAGCCACAGCUCUUGUGGAGAAGAUGGCGUCCAAUCAAAGCUGGAAUGAAGAGAGGACCCAGACACGCAAGAGAGGUGGAGGUAUGCAUCAGCUCAAGGAGGUAGACAUGGUGUCUGCAAAGCUAGACCUACUCAUGAAGAAGCUCGACGAUAGAGCUGGAGAUAAGAAGGAAGUUAUGCACAUCUACGACUCUCACAUGACUUGUGAGGAGUGUGGAGAUACUGGACACUCAGGCAACCACUGCCCUGAGAUGCUUGAGGAUGUGAACUACAUCAACAAUAACAACAACAACCACUACAAUCGUCCUCAACAAAAUGAAAGGUUGGAAUCAACAGAGGCCUAACUACUCAGGUAAUUAUCAAGGUAACAAUUCUUACAACAAUAAUAAUAAUUUUCCACCUUUGAGAGAGUUAGUAUCUAAUCAAGGUAAGCUAAUGGAUAACCUAUCUAAGAAAUUGGCAUCUAAUGAUAAAAUGCUAGAAAAUAUAAAUAAUAGAAUGGAUAAUUUUUCUACUACCAUCAAGAAUCAAAUUAGCUUUAAUAAAAUGAUUGAAUCUCAGUUAAAUCAAAUAGUUGUUGCUGUUCCUGCUACUAACCCCGUUAUACCAUCACAACCGGAAGGAUUAGAAUCUGCAAAUCUUGUAGACAUGUUUGAUGCAGGUAAAUGGAGUAACCCCGUCACUGAAUUCACUACUGACCUUCUGCCGGUCAAGAGAGGUGAUCCAGGAUGCCCCGUCAUCCCGAUCUCCAUCGGCAUGGUGGACGUCCCAGAAGCACUCUGUGACUUUGGCUCCAGCGUCAACAUUAUACCCAGGGUACUCUAUGAGAAAUUCUUUACAUAUCCUUUAUUAGAAACAACCAUGUGUUUGCAGUUUGCAGAUCAGACGAUAACUUUUCCAAAAGAGAUAUUGAGGAACCUUUGUGUCCGAGUUGGUACCUUGUAUGCCCCAGCAGACUUCAUAGUAGUAGAGACCGGAAAUGAUGAGAGAGCACCUAUCAUCUUAGGGAGGCCAUUCUUGAACACCACGGGAGCUAUCAUCUACGUCAGUGCUGCCAAGAUCAGUUUCUACAUCAAAGGGAGGAAGGAGACAUUUUUCUUCAAGAACAAGACUACACAAAUUCCAGAUCAAUCUAGACGUGAAUCAAGGAAGAGGACCAACAGGAGGAACAGGAACAAGCAAGUAUGGACCGAGUCAGCUAAGAUGGUCACUGCAGUUCAUGGAGGCCAAGAUCAUCAACUUAAGUCACCGUGUUUGACCAAGAAGGACGACCCAGGAAUGCCAAGCAUCUAUUGCUCCAUAAAUGGAUACAACUUCUACAAGAUGUUUUGCGACAACGGAUCGGGCGUCAACAUAAUGGCCACAGUCACCUAUCGGCUCUUUUUCGGAACCAUGCCCCUAAGACCAACAUACAUUCAACUCCAGAUGGAAGAUCAGACAUUUCGAGAAGUUAAAGGAAUAGUAACUGAUGUCCCAGUCAAGAUAGACGAUUAUUUUGUCUACACAGACUUUCAGGUUAUUGACAUGGGAGAAGAUGAGUACGAUCCACCCAUCAUCCUUGGAAGACCGUUCCUCAGCACCGUUAAAGCAAUUAUCUAUAUUGGAACCGGAGAAGUCCAUAUGCACUUCCCCUCAGAGAAGGUACUACGUUAUUUUACUGACCCUAACUAUAUCAUUGAAGAAUCUAAGCAGGUAAGAAAACAACGCAACCGCAACGAGAGGAGGCAGAUCAUCAAGGACAGAUGGGCAGACUACGAAGGAGAAGUGAUAAGGUCAGAAGACGUAGAGUUUAACUAGAACUAUCCUGAGGAGACUGAAGCACCAAGUUAGGUGUGGAGAGAGAAGAUAACUAUACAUGAAGAGGAGGCGCCGCCGGAAGUACUGACUACGCCACCCAACGAAUCCUAGGACAAUUAAGAAAACGGAGAGUCCCGUUCGGAGGACUUAAAAACACCGAACGUCUUGCCAAGAGGUAAACUUAGUAGUUAUCCUUUCCCUUUCAAUUAUGUCAACUAGUUUACUUAGUUAAUCAGGUUCAUAAUAUCCUAAAAAGAAAAUAAAAAUGUGAAAAACAGUAAGCCCCAUGUGAGUAUACGAGUGGCAUAAAACCCAUAAGUACAUUCACUGUGGUGGCAUAAAAAUAAAAUAAAUAUUUCAUUUCUGCUUUAUAAAAUGAAAAUAUAAAAAUAGGGAGUAAUAAUUAUUAAGGAGUCUCAACAUGACAAAGGCUAGAUAUUUAUGCUAACACUUAAUCAGUUCCACAAGCUUUGUUGUCUAUUUGAGCUCCACAGAAUAUUAAGAAUCAAGAAGACUAGCAGACGGAGGACAUUCUAAUCGCUGUCAGAAUGCUGCUGACUUUCAAAUAUACCUCUGUCACCUGCUAGCUACAUCAAGAGAAAUUACGUCAAAAUUCAGCUUGGGGGAGAGCACCCCCAUUUAUCUCGAUAAGUAUUUCUAUCAAUCUAUCUUUAUACUUAUACUAUAUUAAAAUACAUAAACUAUGAAAAACCAAACAAAGAUUUUAUGCUUAUAUAUAUAUAUAUAUAUAUAUAUAUAUAUAUCUUUUGCUUAGUAUGUUUAAUAAAUAAAUAAAGUGGCUAUGCUAAUCUGUAUCUUAAUAAUAAAACUCAAGCAUGGUUAUGAUGAAUAGUUGCUCUGCCUAAUUUGCAUAUUUUAAGUUCUCUCUCAAGUUUAGAUAUAACUGUUAUAAAUUAAAGCUUGCUCUAGACCUAAACUUGUGGGAUGAAAACUUGAUCUGAAGUCUAAGUUGUUAACGGAUACGAUAUGGGAAGGUUGAGCUGCUAUUUAUCUGUUCCUAGAGAUGCUAGAAUUCUGGAGAAUUUUAUCUUUGAAAAUCUUUAAAAUAUUGCAUGAUGAGUCUUGUAUGAUGAGAGUUUAAAUUCCUACCACAGCCAUAUAUACAUGCUUGCUAGACUUUGAGCCACACAUUUACUAUUUACUGCUUAUGAGCAUUGAGUGUGGUCAAGCUGUGUAGAACCUUAGGAGCUUGUCAUGUGGUUAAAUCAAGGUUUCACUUGCACGUUCACUCAUACAUGCUACUUCUACUCCGGAAGUACCAUCCACAUAUAUCCACCCAUUAUCAUUUCUAGAACCACCUAAAAAUAUUCUACUCCUAACCCGGGAGAGAAUAACCAAAAAUAUUUCUGUUUUCCCCUGUGAAAUAAAUGCUCAAGUUAUCUUGUUACUACCACUUGCUAUAUUAUCUCAAGAGAUGAGUGCUCUAAAAAAAAGAGAUACGAGGAAAUAAAAAGGAGCCAGUGCUCGGAACCUCGAAAGAAAAGAAAAAGAGUGAGACGAGAGGUAAAAAUUGACAAGUGUCCGACAGUAGAAUUAGAGGUACAAGAUACCCACCGGAGAAAAAAGAAAAAUAUAGAGCAUCUCAUUCUCCUCAUAAAGUUUCAGAAAGCAAGGAAGGUAUGUAUCCCCUCAAAAGAGCAAAAGUAGAAUUAGACUUUCACCAUUGUUAUCACCAUCAUCACCAUACACCAGUCAUUCGCCACACAUGCAUAUCUUGAUUAAACUUAUUGACUUGUUUCUUUGGAUCCAUGGUUUGACUAUACAAUAAAUGUCUUGUAAGUAUGUAUAUUUUAUCUCCCACCUAUGAGCUCCAAAUAUUAAAGCCUUAUUAGAGUAGGGUGAGAGAUAAGAUAAUGUCACUAUGCUUUAUACCACAAAUACUACAUAUCUUGAGAGAAGGCAUAUACCAUCACUGCCUUGGUAAGGAUCCAAAAAUACCACAAAAGAGAGAUUUGAGAGAAUCAUACAAGGAAUCUCUGAGUUUUAUUUGAAAAUCUGCAAAAACUUCAGAGCUAUAGCUGAUCAAGAAUAAGAGACAUGACACUUGACUAGACUGUUCUAUCUUUUAACUACUCAAGACAGAAGUGACGGUUACAAGUCCCAUGGUAGAAGGUAAAGUAAGUAAGUUUUAAGUCUUGACAGUUUACUCUAACUCAGAGAUGAGAUCUUAUUUAAAAAGCAUGUGUACCGUCAAUUGUUUAAAGAUAUUGCAACAACUUCUGAUCCAUAGCUGAGUCUAUCCUUGCUUAGGGACGAGCAAGAGGUAAGCUUGGGGGAGUUUGUUGACGGUCCUUAAGUAUCAAAUUUAAUUAUCAAAUAAACAAAGAAAAGGAUCCAAAUGAAAUCAACAUCUAGACUUAGGGUUUUAUCUGACAGAAUUCCACGAGUUUUGGUGUUUGUCUAUUUCUGCAGGAGGUUAUCAGGAAAUACGGAAGAAAGGCUCACACGUCGGGAUUACAUAGAGAUAUUAACAAGCCGCGCAAUUAUCUUACAUCUAGAAGACUCCAGAAGCCACGAGACCGAAGCGGAGACGAAACGGGGCCAGAGGCAGGGCGCUCGCCCUGUUCCCCUAGGCGCCCGCCCCCUCCCUGAGUCCAAUCAGGACUCUGCUUCGUGUGAGAUCUCCACCGACCUAAAGGAUGAAUCUAAACCAUACAAUCUAAGUCGGUUUGAUCCAACGGCCCAUAUUCACUUCAAGGGACUAUAAAACCAGACCCCUGGCCCUUGGAGGAGAGAGCCUCUCAACCCUAAUUCAUUAUUCUCAAGGGAGAAGAAGCCCCUGAUCAAGAUUAGAGCCACCACAUCAAUUAAAUAUCUAGAUUAGCAUAGCUACAUAGGAUUAGAACUAGAAGGAGUCAAUCUUCGAUUGGUUUUCGGAUCUGUCAAGAGGAUUCUUGGUAAUUCUCUAAUUGUGCUUCUAAUUGUUCUUCAAUAUUAUGAAUAUGACUUUGUUCUACUUCAAUAUAUUGCUUAUGACUUUGCUCUACUUGUUUAUAUUCAAGAUUAUAUUGUUCUUAGUUUAUCAUAGUUAUGUACUUGGCUUAGUUAGAUUGGAUCUAUAUACAUGCUUAGGAUCGUAUAGCGUUUAUCCAUCGGAUCCAUGGGUAAAUGAUAGAUAUUGUGUAGGCGUGGUGCUUAUACCGUAUUUAUCUGCGAUUGUACCCAAUAUGCCAGAUCGUGGGGUAGUUCGUGAUAGUGACAGCUUCAUUGAUUCUUAUAUAGUCCCCCUCUCGUGUAUUGGGCUGGCAGAGCAAUAUUAUUACAGGGGAGUGAUUGCUAUGUUUCUCAUAUUCCUUGCUAAUAUCACUAUGCAUGGGCGUAGUCUUGUCUCACAAUGAUUGCUAAGUAUGCUUGCACUAACUAUGAUAAUGCUAGACUAUAUAGUUGAGAAUAACUUAGGAAAUAUUCUUGUAGUUCGUUCUAAUUCUAUGCUAAUGACUUUCUAGAGUAUCUAAUUGAGGUGCUUAUCAUAUUUAUUAUGUGGCUAGUUAUGAUCAGAUUAAUUAUCUUUGUCACUAUUCAUUACUUCAUAUAUCUUUUAUGUGACACUUACCCCUGUAUGAAAGAGUUAGAUAAUUGUUCUCAAUUACAUAUGCAAUGAUAGAUACUCAAUCUCAUAUUCUUUUCUGUAAUCACUAUUGAUGAUUGCUAAUCCCUUCCCAGUGGUAAAAAUAUAAAUAACGAUACCUGGAAUACUUCCCGGUUAAAAUGCUACAUCGGUAUUAAUCUGUGCGCUUGCAGAUCCCAUUCAUGAUUCAUUUAGAAGAGCAAUCGCAUAUUUCAAUACCGCGUCUCUCAUGUCAUGCUGGGGAUGACAACUUGGCUUAAGUGGUAUGAGGGAUAGGUUUGGCAUUUUUGGCACCGUUACUAGAAUUAGGAAUUGUCUACUUUUGGUAGUUAUGUUAAGAAUACCCAACAGUCAACUGGGCGGGCGCCCAGUGCCUGGCCCCGGUCGGCCUCCGCUUCCUUCCCGUGGCUUCUGGAGUCUUCUAGAUGGUAGAAAAUUGCGCGGUGCGUUGUUAUCUCUAUGUAAUCCCGACAUGUGGGCCUUUCUUCUUUAUUUCCUGAUAACCCCCUGCAGAAACAGAUAAACAACAAAACUCGUGGAAUUCUGUCAGAUCAAACCCUAAUUCUAGGUGUUGGUUGUGUUAGGAACGACGUAUGGAGUAUGAAAUCAAUCAACGCAGAGACACACGAUUUACGUGAAAACCCCUCCAAUGCGAAGGGGAAAAACCACGGGCACCAGCCAACAACGAUCUCACUAUCUCAAGAGUUUGGGUUACACGCCUGCGGCGGCUUACAAGAGAAUCGAGUCUCCACGAAACCCUAGCAAGGGUAUAUACCGUACCGCGGGGGGCUCCGCCACCCCGGACCCCCCCUGUGCUCUGGCCCCAGCCUCCGGCGACGGGCCUCCGCUUCGCUCCGUCAGAAGCCCGGCCAUUAUCCUGAAGUGAAUUUGGAACAACUCCAACAAACUCCACCUUGAGACAAAUUCUUCUUGUAUCAUAAAUCAACCCAUCAUCCUGAACAACAAAGAUAGAAAACCAGUGGUGCCAACAAUAGUCUCUUGGACUAUUCAAUCAAACCUACUAAGCUUGAGCAUAACUCAAACUUAGCAACAGGAAUAGGCUUUGUCAUCAUAUCAGCAGGAUUAUCAUGAGUACUAAUCUUGCAUACCUUCAGCUUACCUUCCUCAAUCACAUCACGCACAAAAUGAUACUUGAUAUCUAUGUGCUUAGUUCUCUCAUAGAACAUCUGAUCUUUAGUGAGGUAAAUUGCACUUUGACUAUCACAAUGCAAACUUAUGCAAGAUUCAACUCCACUGAGCUCAGCGUACAAACCUUUUAACCAAAUCAACUCUUUGCACGCUUCACAAAUAGCCAUAUAUUCUGCCUCAGUAGUAGACAAAGCAACAACAGACUGUAAAGUAGCCCUCCAACUCACAGCACAACUGCCAACAGUAAACACAUAACCAGUAAGUGAUCUUCGCCUGUCCAAAUCAGCAGCACAAUCAGAAUCCACAUAUCCAAUAAGUCCCAUAUCUGUUCUUCCAAACUUCAAACAUGAAUAUGUUGUGCCUUUGAGGUACCUGAAAAUCCACUGAACUGCCCUCCAAUGUUCUUUGCCAGUAUUAGACAUAUAUCUACUAACAAGACUCAUAGCAUAUGACAAAUCUAGACGAGAGCAAACCAUGGCAUACAUCAAAGACCCAACAGCACUAGAAUAAGGAACCUUUAAUAUGUACUCAAUCUCUGCAUCUGAACUAGGACACUGAGCAGCUGACAACUUAAAAUGAGGUGCAAUAGGGGUACUGACAGCCUUAGCAUUUUGCAUGUUGAAACGCUGAAGAACUUUCUUGAUAUAAUUAUGUUGACUAAGAAAUAGCAAACCAGAUUUUCUGUCUCUACUAAUUUCCAUACCAAGAAUUUUCUUAGCACUACCAUGAUCUUUCAUAUCAAACUCACUACUCAACAUCUUCUUUAACUUAGUGAUUUCAAUCUUACUCUUGGCAGCAAUCAGCAUAUCAUCAACAUAUAGCAGCAGAUAUAUAGGUGAUCCAUUAACAUGCUUGAUAUAAACACAACUAUCAUACUUAGAUCUUUUGAAACCAUGUGACAGCAUAAAUGAAUCAAACCUCUUGUUCUACUGACGAGGGGACUGUUUCAAACCAUACAAGGAGCGCUUCAACUUGCACACAUAUUUUUCCUUGCCAGGCACUAUGAACCCUUCCGGUUGGUCCAUGUAAAUGUCCUCCUCAAGCUCUCCAUGCAAAAACGCAGUCUUCACAUCUAACUGCUCAAGCUCAAGAUCAUGUGAAGCAACAAUACUCAAGAGAAUUGAACUGUGUUUUACCACUGGAGAGAACACAUCAUUAUAGUCAACACCCGGAAUUUGACUGUAACCUUUAGCAUCUAACCUUGCCAUAUACUUUGGAGGCUCGCUUGAAGAUAAGCCUUCCUUUCUCUUGAAGAUCCACUUGCAGCCGAUGGUCUUCUUUUCCUUAGGCAAAGGUACAACCUCCCAUGUACUGUUCUUUUCAAGAGACUGCAUCUCCUCAUGCAUAGCAGAAAUCCAAUUCUCACUAUCACCACAACGAACAGCUUCUUUAUAGGUUGCUGGCUCAUGAACAUUCUCCACCUGUUCAGCACAACUCAAAGCAUAGUAAGACAAAUUACAUUCUUCAAUAAGACGUUUGGGAGGGUUAAUUGUCCUUUUUGACUUGCGAGAGCAAUAGGUAAAUCCUCCGCUUGCUGCAAAAUAGGAGGAGUUUGCUGAACAUCAUCAUGAGCAUCAUCAUCAGCAACAUCACUAUUAUGGUCAUCCUGCGCAUCAACAGGCUCCACCUGAACACCUGUAUCAUCAUCAACAUGCUCCACCAGCAUGCGCAUACGCUGUGGCUCUUUUUCUGGAACAUGUUCUGAGGGCAAACUGUUAGUAAACAUCACAGAUUCAUUGAAUACAACACUCCUGCUCAUAAAAGUCUUCCCAGUUUCAGGAUUCCACAAUUUAUAGCCUUUCACUCCCGAACCAUAACUAAGGAAAAGACACUUAACAGCUCUAGACUCCAAUUUUCCAUUAUCAACAUGAGCAUAAGCAGUGCAUCCAAAUACUUUUAACUGUGAAUAAUCAGCAGGCGUACCAGACCAUACCUCAAUAGGAGUUUUCUUAUUCAGUGGAAUAGAAGGUGACCUGUUUAUAAAAUAACAGGCAGUAUUAGCAGCUUCUGCCCAAAAACGCUUGCUCAUCCUUGCAUGAGACAACAUGCAACGGGCCUUGGAGAUUCUGUUGUGGAGUAUGCGCUCCGGCCCAAGCCUCCGGCGACGGGCCUCCGCUUCGCUCCGUCAGAAGCCCGGCCAUUAUCCUAAAGUGAAUUUGGAACAACUCCAACAGGUUGCAUAUUGGUCCUUUCUCUUGUUUAUUUGAUAAUUAAAAUUGAUACUUAAGAACCGUCAACAGGUACCAUAGGCAUUGGAGACUUGAUUCAAUUGGUCUUUAUGCUAGAGUGCACACUUUAUGCUGCAAAUGCCAGGAUGUGAGACAUUGUCACAUCUUGUACUGCUGGCUAACUAUCUGUGUUCUCUCAUAAGAAUCAAAAUCGGUCACAAAAUAAGAUGGUCUAAUUGCUGAGUUUUGUUAUUUUUAUGUGUAUGUUUGAUCAUUUUCUAUGAGAAGAGCCAUUUCACCUAGGUGUAUGGUCCUAAAUAGCAUAUGUAUGACUUUCUUAUGGUCAUUGUUUGUGAUCUAAAAAUAAUCAUCUCUGCCCCUACGUAAACCAAUGUUUGUAGAAUAAUAUAUAGACUGACUGUGCUAUAUGUUUGCUUUUGUUACAAUGAUGAUAUUCUUGACUAACAUGUUUGCCCCUACAUAACCCAAGUUUGCUGAUGAGGACAAUCUCUUGUUCCUCGCUGAGAACUGAAAUUUCUUCUCCCUAUCCCUUUGAUCUUGUCUGGCUAUUUCCCGUGAGAAACUGUCCUUUGACCUUAUAAUUAGGGCCUUAUUGAUGCUAAAGGUUAAUUAGAUUAUGGUAGAAGUAGGAGGCAUUAUAUAUUCACGUCAGAUCCUCUCGAAUUUGCUUAGUUAAAGAUAGUUUUCAUCCAAGGUGAAUGUGUUUCCUUUUCGUUUAAUUUCAGUAGGUAGGUUCCACAUUCCUGUAAGCUAUGGAUGCUUUCCUCAUUUUCUCUUAUGAGUUUUUGUGAUGUUCAUUUGUAAUGUGUGAUCGCACUGAUAGUUUAGGAACAGCCACAUUAACUAAUGAACUUCCAUUCUGAAUUGGCCAGUGAAAAAGCAAUCACAAAUUAGGAAAAAAAAGAUAUGUCUAAACUGAUGAUAGUGUAUGAGAAUUUGAUAGGCUGUGCCUGUGGCAAUUUAUGGUGCAAUGCUGAAGCUGCUAUUGUGCCCUUUUUUCUGUAGUUUUCAAGGUUUAACUAAGAUAUUGCAGAUAAGUUUUCAUACAGAGGUUUUCCUA
rnacentral:lncRNA from 1 species